rnacentral:rRNA from 1 species
UUUAUAUGAGAGUUUGAUCCUGGCUCAGGAUGAACGCUGGCGGCGUGCCUAAUACAUGCAAGUCGAACGAGUUCUCGUUGAUGAUCGGUGCUUGCACCGAGAUUCAACAUGGAACGAGUGGCGGACGGGUGAGUAACACGUGGGUAACCUGCCCUUAAGUGGGGGAUAACAUUUGGAAACAGAUGCUAAUACCGCAUAGAUCCAAGAACCGCAUGGUUCUUGGCUGAAAGAUGGCGUAAGCUAUCGCUUUUGGAUGGACCCGCGGCGUAUUAGCUAGUUGGUGA